AAUUGUAGGCAGUUUGUGUGUGGAUCUCGUCAGCAUAUUGUCGCAAACAGGAAAUCCCCAACCAUAGUGGGCUUGGAGCUGUGAGGAAAUUCGGAGUGGCCACCCGUUCUGAAAGUUUGAUUUUCUUCUGGUGAACUGGACAUCCUUUUAUUUACGUUUGAAGUUUUGGGUUUUUAAAUGUAAUAAGGCCGCUUAAUUAUUUUUGAUGGUUUUAAUAUGUAUUACUAAGAUAGGUAUUACUUA